ACUUAAUUUUAAAUUUUAAUUCUUUAUUAAAUGUUAAGUUUAGUUUAUUUAUAUAUAUAAGUUUAGGCUAAAAAUAUGCUUAUAAAUUAAGCAUAUAAUUUGUAUAUUAAUAUAAAAAAUUAAUUUAAAUAAAUAACUUUAUAAUUAGGUAUAACAUUAAUUUCUGGUAAAUGAAUGUGCCAGCAACAGCGGUUAAACAUUAAGAAAAAUUUAAUAAUAUCGAUUAGAAUACGGUUUAGUUGGUUAAUAAAAAUUAAAUAUUAAUGGUAAAAUAGAAAUAUUUAUAUUUAAAUUAAAAUUAAAUAAUCAAAAUUUUAAUAAAUUAUCUAAUUAAACUAGGAUUAGAUACCCUAUUAUAUAUAAUUAAUAAUAAAAUUAAUCAAGGUAGUAUUAGUUAUAUUCUUAAAAUCUAAAGAAUUUGACGGUAUUUUAAUAAAAUCAGAGGAACUUGUCAUUUAAUUCGAUAAUCCACGAUAGAAUAUACCUUGUUUUAACUUAUAUACCUCCGUUUUAAUGAAAAUUUUAUAAGGAAAUUUUUAUAAAAUAAUUUGAUAUAAUAAUUCAGGUCAAGGUGUAGUGAAUAAUAAGGAAUAAGAUGAGUUACAAUAAAAAUAAAAUUGUGAAUUUAAUUAUGAAAUUUAGUUAAUGAAAAUGGAUUUGAAGGUAAGAUAAUUAAAUUAUAUUAUCUGAUUAAAAUACUAAAAUAUGUACAAAUUGCCCGUCACUUUCAUUAAGAGUGAAAUAAGUCGUAACAAAGUAAAUGUACUGGAAAGUGUAUUUAGAAUAA
rnacentral:ncRNA from 1 species